rnacentral:tRNA from 1 species
AUUAAGAUGUCUGUAAUUUAAGGUAGUAAACUGUAAAUUUACUUAAGGACUUAACUGUUCUCUUAGUA